rnacentral:lncRNA from 1 species
GGUCCUGAAGCAUAUAGGUGGCAAAUCUGAUCUUUUCCUCCUCAGUACAACCCAUGGCCCUGAAGGCCUUCUCCAUCUCAUCUACCCAACAUUCGGCCUCUUGGGGAUCGGUAGUUCCCUUGAAGGCCGAAGGAGCCAACUUCCUGAACUCUGCUAUACUCCUCCCCUGAUCUGAAGAACUAGCAGAGGGAAAUAGCUGCUGUGGUCCCCUCUGCUGCCGAACUAACCCAACAACCUCUCUGAUCAGCUCCAUCACCUGGGUCGGU